UUUCUUCAACUUUAAUUAAUCUUGAUGAAUCAAAUAUGAAAACGAUUGGAUUUUGAAUUCUCUAGUCUAUUUUUUUGUUUUCCUUUUCUUUUGCCUUUGUGUUCUUGAUGACCCAAUUCCCAAAUAUGAAAAAGAUUGGAUUUUGAAUACUCCAAGUCUAUUUUUGUGUUCUUGAUGACCCAAAUGAGAAAGAUUGGAUUCUGUUUCUUCAGCUGACAUAGUUGUGUUUAUAUGUGCCUUAUUUUUUUCUUGGAAUUUCAGCUGCUUUUGUUCUAUUUUAUCUUUGAUAAUUGCAAGUAAAUAGGAGUAUUUGUUUCCUCUGCAGUGUAAGAGCAGGGAUUUGCAGUAGAAGAAUCAAACUUCAAUAAAUUGAAUAGCUAAAUUGGGGCUGAAAUUCGCGGUUUUACCAACUUAUGCACUACCUUGGAAGUAUCUGAAAGUUCUUGAGAAGGGAUUAUUCUGGUUUUGUGGAUAAAUUAUUCUCCACAAUGUGUUCGAUUCCUGAUAAAAGCAUGCUACCUUCAAAAUUUCUGUUCUGUCUAAUAGCCAUUUCUGUUUUCCUUUUGAUAGUUUCUUCACUUUCCCUUUUUCAAUUUGCUGACCAUUCUUUUAUGCCCAAAUCAGUUUUUAGUUUAGUUCUUGUUAAUGAUACUUCAGUUUACUUGACCUCAAGUAGUGGGGAACCUAAAGAUGCUUUCUUGCCUGCUGAAACUUCACAUGAACAAAUACUGAAAACCCAAGAGUUGGCUUAUGAAACUUCCAGUUUCGGCAACAAUUCCGGUGGAUUAGGAAUUGGGAAAUCUUGUGGUCCAGAACAAGCUCUCCUUAGAGUGUAUAUGUAUGACUUACCUCCUGUAUUUCACUUUGGGCUAUUAGGUUGGAAAGGAAGUAAGGAUGAAACAUGGCCUAGUGUUAGUAACCCGAGCCAAAUACCCUCGUACCCUGGGGGCUUAAAUUUACAGCACAGCAUUGAAUAUUGGCUUACUCUUGACCUUCUAUCCUCAAAUACCCCAAAUAUUAAUGGACCUUGCAAUGCUGUCAGAGUAUCAAAUUCGAGUGAAGCAGAUGUAAUCUUUGUGCCCUUCUUUUCGUCGUUGAGUUACAACAGGCAUUCUAAGGUACUAGGGAAGAAGAAAAUCAGUCUCAAUAGAGUGCUGCAGGAUAAACUGGCGGAAUUUUUAAAAGGUAGAGACGAGUGGAAGCAAAGGGGCGGAAAGGAUCAUCUGAUCAUAGCUCACCACCCUAAUAGUAUGUUGGAUGCAAGAGAGAAGCUUGGUUCCGCCAUGUUUGUACUUGCAGAUUUUGGAAGGUAUGGAGCCGAAAUAGCAAACAUUGAAAAGGAUGUGGUUGCUCCUUACAAACAUAUGGUCCAGACAAUAGGUGCUGACAGCUCGCCCUCAUUCAGACAACGAGAUACAUUAGUUUACUUCCAAGGGGCAAUCUUUAGAAAAGACGGUGGAGAGAUUCGUCUGGAAUUAUACUACCUUCUCAAAGAUGAAAAAGAUGUACACUUCACAUUUGGAAGUAUCCAAGCGCAUGGUGUUAGGGAUGCUGGAAAAGGAAUGUCCUCGUCCAAAUUCUGCCUGAAUAUUGCUGGAGACACUCCAUCUUCAAAUCGUCUCUUUGAUGCCAUUGCUAGGCACUGUGUUCCGGUAAUAAUUAGUGAUGAUAUUGAGCUUCCAUUCGAAGAUGUUCUUGAUUACUCGGAGUUUUGUGUGUUUGUCCAUUCAUCUGAUGCUGUAAAGAAGGGGUACCUUCUGAACUUUCUUAGAGGAAUGAAGGAAGAUCAGUGGACCAAAAUGUGGGAAAGGCUAAAGGUGGUCAGCAAAUAUUUUGAAUAUCAAUAUCCAUCCCAAACUAAUGAUGCAGUGGAUAUGAUUUGGCAGGCAGUUUCAAGGAAGGUGUCACAUAUACAGCUGAAGGAUCACCGUAACAACAGAUUCCACAGGUCACAGCGUUUGUGAUUAUUUAUGUGAAAUUUGAAUCAAUCAUCUUGUACUUCUAGGAGAUCAGAUGCCAGAUUGAGCUGGAUUCUCUAUCUUACGGUCAUCGAAGGUGCAGGUGCUAUAUUGAGCCGUGUUUGCAAGUCCUGCACGACAGCAGCCUUUAGAAUCCGAGAACUUCUCAGAUGAAAUAAGCUGUCUUCUCCCCAUCUGAGUGCAAGAUCUAUACUUC